rnacentral:rRNA from 1 species
GGCAAUAGCUGACUGCAUAAUAUUAUUAAAUGAAUGCUAUUCUUUUAAUUUUAUAUAAUGUAGUUACUACUAGGUAAUUUAAUUUUCUAGGUAGAAUUAUGAUGAUGACGUUAUCUAUCUAUAAGUCUUGACCAAAUUACGUGCCAGCAGUCGCGGUAAUACGUAGAAGACAAGUGUUAUUCAUCUUUAUUGGGUUUAAAGAGUACCAAGACGGUUAAUAAAGCCCAGAAUACAUGAACACGGGGGACACAUUGACUAGAGUUAUAUGAAAGGAAGCUCUAAGGUACUGUUGAGUGGAGAGAUAAAAUUCUUUGAUACCAGAUGAGUGGCACAGAUUUAUGCGAAGGCAUCUUCUUAUGUAAUAACUGACGUUGUAGGACGAAGGCUUUUGAAGUGAACAGGAUUAGAUACCCUAGUAAUCUAAGCAGAAAAUGAUGAAUGUCAUAGGCUAAUAUGAGAGGAGAUAUAAAAAAAAUCUCAAAACUAGUGGUCUAUAAAUGAAAGUGUAAGCAUUCCACCUCAAGAGUAAUUUGGCAACAUUGGAACUGAAAUCAUUAGACCGUUUCUGAAACCAGUAGUGAAGUAUGUUGUUUAAUUAGAUAAUCCACAAAAAACCUUACCACAAUUUGAAUAUAUAUCUUUAAAGAUAUUUACAAGCGCUGCACGGCUGUCUACAGUUAAUGUCGUGAGACUUUGGUUAGUUCCAUAAAAUUAACGUAAGCCCUCAUUUUAUUUCUAAAUAAAGUUUUUUCUACCACAAAUGAUAAAAUUUGUGAUGAAAUAAAAGGGAACAUGACAAGUCAUCAUGGCC